UACGAAGGGUGCAAGCGUUACUCGGAAUUACUGGGCGUAAAGCGUGCGUAGGUGGUGAGUUAAGUCUGUCGUGAAAGCCCCGGGCUCAACCUGGGAAUGGCGAUGGAUACUGGCUCGCUAGAGUGCGGUAGAGGAGAGUGGAAUUCCCGGUGUAGCGGUGAAAUGCGCAGAUAUCGGGAAGAACACCCGUGGCGAAGGCGGCACUCUGGGACGGUACUGACGCUGAGACGCGAAAGCGUGGGGAGCGAACAGG
rnacentral:rRNA from 1 species